rnacentral:sRNA from 1 species
GUCAUACUACGGCGCAUCGCCCUGAAAAGUAAACGAUGACCCAUAGUGAACUUCGGGGUAAAAUACGCAUCAAAUUAAAAAAUUGCUGCUGACCUGGGACAAUGCUUCCGGGUCAGUUUUCUU